rnacentral:rRNA from 1 species
GACGAACGCUGGCGGCGUGCUUAACACAUGCAAGUCGAACGGAAAGGCCCUGCUUUUGUGGGGUGCUCGAGUGGCGAACGGGUGAGUAACACGUGAGUAACCUGCCCUUGACUUUGGGAUAACUUCAGGAAACUGGGGCUAAUACCGGAUAGGAGCUCCUGCUGCAUGGUGGGGGUUGGAAAGUUUCGGCGGUUGGGGAUGGACUCGCGGCUUAUCAGCUUGUUGGUGGGGUAGUGGCUUACCAAGGCUUUGACGGGUAGCCGGCCUGAGAGGGUGACCGGCCACAUUGGGACUGAGGUACGGCCCAGACGCCUACGGGAGGCAGCAGUGGAGAAUAUUGCACAAUGGGCGGGAGCCUGAUGCAGCAACGCCGCGUGCGGGAUGACGGCCUUCGGGUUGUAAACCGCUUUCUCCUGUGACGAAGCGUGAGUGACGGUAAUGGGUAAAGAAGCACCGGCUAACUACGUG